rnacentral:misc_RNA from 1 species
CCCUCCCCUAAAUCACUCCAAAAAAACAAUCCCCAAUUCUACACAAGUGUUUCUACACUAACAAAGCAACAGCUCCUUAACGAAUUCCCAACUUUACACGAGCUCGUCUCUCGAGGUUAAAUGUUAUUACUUGGUAAGAUUCCGGACCUCGCCAAGUGUUUUGAAAACCCGCAACGCUCGCAAAGGUGCAUAGUGAGAAUAAUAAGUGAAGAGACAGACUUGUCCAAAACGCCCACCACGAAGGUGCAUAGUGAGAAGAGUAAGUCAAGAGAUAGACUUGUCCAAAAAGAAACGGAAGAGAAAGCUUGGGAGACGCUCACGAAGGUGCAUAGUGAGAAGAGUAAGUCAAGAGAUAGACUUGUUCAAAAAGAAACAGAAGAGAAUGCUUGGGGUUACACUCACGAAGGUGCAUAGUGAGAAGAGUAAGUCAAGAGACAGACUUGUUCAAAAAGAAACAAAAGAGAAUGCUUGGGGAGAUAGAAGUGUGAGAUAGUUCUCAAGCUAAGAAAGUUGUAAAAGCUAAGAACUAGCAAGUAAUCGUCCAGGAUUCCUCCACCAGGACUUGAAAUCGUCGAGGGAAAAAAAUCGGUUCCGAGGAAUCGUCGAUCCGGACUUGGAAUCGUCGAGAAAAGUUUACCGGGUCCGAGGAUUUGUCGACCAGGAGUGGAAAUCGUCGAGAAAAAUCUAUCGGGUCCGAGGAAUCGUCGACCAGGACGAGGAAUCGUCGACAGGGUCCGAGGAUUUGUCGACCAGGGGUUGAAAUCGUCGACCAGGUCCGAGACUUCAUCGAC